CCGACCGACGGACCGACCGAUCUCACAGCCCUCCUCCUCGGGCUGUCGGCUGACGCCCUCCUACCCGCGUAGAGACUCAGGGAAGACAACACGGAGCUCCUGCGGAACUGGCGCGGCCUCCCCCGCCCUGUGAGCAUUCUGACCUGCCCAGGCUGAAGGCGACUACUCUUCCCUCACCCUCAAAUCCAGUGUCUGUACAUAGCCCAGCAGCCGCUCUCCUCCCUCCAGACACCACUGGAGUUCCUGGGGAUGGCCCGUUCUCUUAGCUUGUGGCAUCGCUACAGCUCUGAGGAAGAGGAGGUGAAAUCCAGGUAUCAACAAAAACAACAAAAUAAGCCCCUAAUUGUCAAUAUGAGAAGUUGUGUUGCUAGCCUGUUCUUUUAAAACACGAAAAAAACCCAGCAAGCCAGUUGUUCCCAGGACACUCACGAUCCCUGUUGGAAGCUGGAACCACAGAGAUUUGAGCUAAAAAAGCAAGUCACAGAAAAAAAAACAGCGCUUUUUCUAAAUUCUCCUACCUUCUGUACAGAAAAUGAAACCUAGUUUAUCAGUUUGUAACAGAGUAAAACAAACCAAAUCGUUUUA